AACCCCAGAUCCCUUCCACCCCGGAUCUCAGUAUUGGUCUGAGGGGCUGAAAAAAGAGGAAAAGUAAAACUGAAGGGGACUUGGAGUCUUUAGUGACACACAAGUUCAUCUCAAACAUAA
rnacentral:snoRNA from 1 species